rnacentral:lncRNA from 1 species
GUUUCCUGCAUUUACUAAAAUGUCAAGACCACGGCGGUGCCAGGGUGGAGUCCAGGCAGGUCCAGGGGCCCUGGCUGUGGAGGAAGGAGAAGUGCUCUGUGGGCGUCACCCUGGCUGCAGGUCCCUGGGAACACUUCCAGACACACUCAGCACUCGCCGGGUGAAGGGCCGGUGGGUGCCAAACCCUAAAACUUCUGAGGGAGGGAGGCAGAGGGUAGGGAGAGGCGGCAGCAGGAGGGCCACCCAGGGUCAUAGCCUGGCCUGGCUCUGCUGUAAGAAGUGCUGAGCAAUGGCCCCACCUGGGGACUAGGGGGAGCUAGAGUCAAACCAGGUGGAUUGGCAAGACUGGUGCGUAGAGGGCCGUCUCAUAAUGUUGGGGUUUGGACUUUUAAAAAGACAAUACAUUAUUGAUGAAUAGAUCUGAUGGGACCUGAUAAAGCAAAACAGGGAGUUUAUUAUGACAAGAUCAAUAGUGUGUGGUUCUAUGUGAAUGAUGACUGCGUUGGGGAGGGCCCGUGGGCCUGCGGGCUGCAGAUGGCUCUGCUGCGUCAUGGGAUGUGCAGCACUUGGGUCCUUGGCUGCAGGUGCAGGAGAACAAGGAAGUGACUUGCAGGUCUAAGACGGCUGCGAGCUAAGCACAUCUGGAGCCUGUCGGGUUGGCAAGGUCUGGAAGAGAGCCUGUUAGCACGCGGACCACGAUGUUCUGACGGUCUGCGCAGCAAAUGGCACAGAAAGCAAGGAGAGUGCCGACUUCCCCAGAGCUCACAGCACUGGCUUAUGGGCUCUAAGUUCCGAUCCGAGUUGGUCCUCUCUGAGCGUAGGGAAUGGAUAGCUUACUGAGGUUCAGGGAGGCUAAGUAACUUGUCCAGUUCACACAGCUGGCAAGAGGCAGAGAUGGGAGUGCUUUCUCACAUUGCUGGCCUGAGGGCCCCGCAUGACCCUUGCUG